ensembl:snoRNA
UCUUUGUCAAUGAUGUUUUCUGUACAAAUGUCUGAACAUAUGAAUUUCAGUGAUUUUCUUAUAUAUUUUAAAACUGAGACAAGAG